CCAGUACCGUGAGGGAAAGGUGAAAAGCACCCCGGAAGGGGAGUGAAAGAGAUCCUGAAACCGUGUGCCUACAAAUAGUCAGAGCCCGUUAAUGGGUGAUGGCGUGCCUUUUGUAGAAUGAACCGGCGAGUUACGAUCCCGUGCGAGGUUAAGCUGAAGAGGCGGAGCCGCAGCGAAAGCGAGUCUGAAUAGGGCGUUUAGUACGUGGUCGUAGACCCGAAACCAGGUGAUCUACCCAUGUCCAGGGUGAAGUUCAGGUAACACUGAAUGGAGGCCCGAACCCACGCACGUUGAAAAGUGCGGGGAUGAGGUGUGGGUAGCGGAGAAAUUCCAAUCGAACCUGGAGAUAGCUGGUUCUCCCC
rnacentral:rRNA from 5 species